rnacentral:rRNA from 1 species
AUUGAACGCUGGCGGCAGGCCUAACACAUGCAAGUCGAGCGGAUGAAGGGAGCUUGCUCCUGGAUUCAGCGGCGGACGGGUGAGUAAUGCCUAGGAAUCUGCCUGGUAGUGGGGGAUAACGUCCGGAAACGGGCGCUAAUACCGCAUACGUCCUGAGGGAGAAAGUGGGGGAUCUUCGGACCUCACGCUAUCAGCUGAUCCUAGGUCGGAUUAGCUAGUUGGUGGGGUAAAGGCCUACCAAGGCGACGAUCCGUAACUGGUCUGAGAGGAUGAUCAGUCACACUGGAACUGAGACACGGUCCAGACUCCUACGGGAGGCAGCAGUGGGGAAUAUUGGACAAAGGGCGAAAGCCUGAUCCAGCCAUGCCACGUGUGUGAAGAAGGUCUUCGGAUUGUAAAGCACUUUAAGUUGGGAGGAAGGGCAGUAAGUUAAUACCUUGCUGUUUUGACGUUACCAACAGAAUAAGCACCGGCUAACUUCGUG